AGUGGCUUAAGGAAGGGCGAUUGGCGAUCGGGUGUGGACUUACGCUCCACCGGGGGUUCGAAUCCCCCCUCUUUCCACCA
rnacentral:tRNA from 1 species